AUCUUCAUAUAUGUGUGACGCCAAGUGUAAUCAGUGCAAUACGUUUUAUAAUAUUUGUUAUUAUAUUAGUUGCUUUCCAUUUUCACUCAAGUGGUACUGAGUCAUUUUAUGUAUUUUAUAAUCAGAUAAAGACGUCAUUUACCUGCUUAUUUUGGUAACAAAGCUAUCGCAUAACAAUACAGGUUCAUAACCUCACUGUUAAUAUGAAUUUAUUAGACUCACUAAAGCACAUGGUCUCGAUUGUGGGUAAAAACCACGUAAAAAAUUAGUUGAAUUUCACUUGCCAGCAUCAAAAAGAACGUGCGUUUAACUGAGUUAUUCAAAAUAUAUGCCAAAUAGAAAAUGGAGAAGUUACGUUUCUUGAAUAGGGUAGUUGAUAUAUCUGAACCGAUAUUGGCAGAAGAUAGUACAUUUUCUAAACUAGCAUUAUCAUUGAGUGCAGUAUUAGAACAAUUGGAUAAAAA